rnacentral:rRNA from 1 species
GAUGAACGCUGGCGGCGUGCCUAAUACAUGCAAGUCGAGCGAAUGAAGAGGAGCUUGCUCCUCUGAUUUAGCGGCGGACGGGUGAGUAACACGUGGGUAAUCUGCCUGUAAGACGGGGAUAACUCCGGGAAACCGGGGCUAAUACCGGAUAAUAAGAAGAAACGCAUGUUUCUUUUUUGAAAGUCGGUUUCGGCUGACACUUACAGAUGAGCCCGCGGCGCAUUAGCUAGUUGGUGAGGUAACGGCUCACCAAGGCGACGAUGCGUAGCCGACCUGAGAGGGUGAUCGGCCACACUGGGACUGAGACACGGCCCAGACUCCUACGGGAGGCAGCAGUAGGGAAUCUUCGGCAAUGGGCGAAAGCCUGACCGAGCAACGCCGCGUGAGCGAUGAAGGCCUUCGGGUCGUAAAGCUCUGUUGUUAGAGAAGAACAAGUACGAGAGUAACUGCUCGUACCUUGACGGUACCUAACCAGAAAGCCACGGCUAACUACGUGCCAGCAGCCGCAGUAAAAC